rnacentral:rRNA from 1 species
UACAGAGGGGGCAAGCGUUGUUCGGAAUUACUGGGCGUAAAGGGCGCGUAGGCGGCCUUCUAAGUCGAACGUGAAAUCCCCGGGCUCAACCCGGGAACUGCGUCCGAUACUGGAAGGCUUGAAUCCGGGAGAGGGAUGCGGAAUUCCGAGGUGUAGCGGUGAAAUGCGUAGAUAUCUGGAGGACACCGGUGGCGAAGGCGGCAUCCUGGACCGGCAUUGACGCUGACGGCGCGAAAGCCAGGGGAGCAAAGCGGG